UACGUAGGGGGCUAGCGUUGUCCGGAAUCAUUGGGCGUAAAGCGCACGUAGGCGGACCGCUAAGUCGGAUGUGAAAGCCCUCGGCUUAACCGAGGAAGUGCAUUCGAAACUGACAGUCUUGAGUAUGGAAGAGGGUCGCGGAAUUCCCGGUGUAGAGGUGAAAUUCGUAGAUAUCGGGAGGAACACCAGUGGCGAAGGCGGCGACCUGGGCCAAUACUGACGCUGAGGUGCGAAAGCGUGGGGAGCAAACAGG
rnacentral:rRNA from 1 species